rfam:Picea glauca, whole genome shotgun sequence.
GAAACCAGAGGUCUCUAGAGAUCUAUGGUUUGUGAAACUAGAUAUUUUGGGUUCGAUCCCCAAUGGAUUUU